ensembl:lncRNA
AAAAACCAAGGGUGUGGCAUAUGAAAAUAUCUGUAGGAAACAAUAUACUCAGUAUCAAUGUAUUGGUUUAUGUAUUGGAAAAAUAAUUCAUUUUAAGUUAUCUCAUCAACUAAUACUAGCAGGGCCAGUACUAAAACUUGCUUUUUACCUACCUCCUGUGAACCUGAUUCAUGUGGUUUAUUGAGCCACUUUCUGUGUCUCCUGAAGACCAGGCUGUAUAGUUGAUCACAUGAGUCCUGCUUAAAGGUGAUCUAUAGUUGAGAAAAAUAGGAUUUGUGUGAUAUCCAAGAAAUCCACCUGUGCUCCAGAGGGCUGGAUAUUUAUGCAGUAACACCACAACUUCUGAAUACAGUGCUUAAAAGUCCAAGGCCUGUUUCUCAACUGCAUCUUAAGGAAAUAAAAAAAUCACACUGAAGACUUUGGUAAUGUGUAGUUGUGCCAAACUUCUCCCCUGGUGUCCUUUUAAAAGCAAAGAUCUGCCUUCAGGAAAGUUUGGAGAUACAACUGUCAGUGUUUAGAGGAUAGUGAGACACAUUUACUACCUGAACUUCUAUUGACUGUGCCCUUUCCUUCAGUGAAAAAUUGAAGAAGUUGAUAAAAGUAUUGGCUCGAGCAUAGGAGAUCGGUCUUCUUUUCCCAGAUCUAUGGCUGCCUGAAUAAUCUUAAACAUGUCAUUGAAUUUCUUUACAUGUUUUCCUAUCUAUAGAGGACAGAUAAUGCCACUUUCCUUAUGGGAAUGCUAGAAGGACUAAGAAAAUGUCAGUUAAGCUCUGUUUUGUUCAUUGGAAAGCAGUUUUACAUAAAGAUGUAUUCUUUAAGGCUGUGAACUCAACUAUAAGAAUGAUUGGCAUCUAAAAUUAAGUCACAUUUUAAUGAUGUGGCAUAACCAAGCGACCGAGUGCUUUUUAAAUCUUUUUAUUCCCCGUUAUCCACAAAUUUUAAGAAUAACACUUAUCGCUCCCAUUUCAAAGGUUAACAUUCAUAGAUAUUUGAGAAAAUUGUACCACUAAAUGCACCGCAAUCAUUCCUGGAUUGUUUCUUCUUCCUAUUGUUGAAGCAUGAACUGUAUAGAGAUGGUUUGAGUUUCCUUUUAAACAGUGAAUUUAAAAUCAACAAUAUUCUCCUUUAUUACAGUUUAUAAUGUAUGUCACCUUGAUUCAUUCUUUACCUUCUAGCUCAAAAGAACUGAGUGAUUAUCACGGAUAAGCAUUAUCUUUCUGGGAGGUCUAUUAUUUUAAAUCAUCUUAGAGAAAGGUUUUGCAAAGACACGUUAGCAAAAGAUGGGACUAGUCUUUUUCUAAAGGUGUUAUGACAGCCAAAAUUAAUUAUAUAUUUGCAUUGCAAAAUGAAUUUAUCCAAGCAGAAUGAAAUUUGAAAUCUUGGAAGUGACCUGGGACAAGGAGAGCUCUCACUUUGGGGGAAGAGGUCUUGGAUCGUUCUGCUCUUCCAUGCAGUGAGGGGAAGGAGGGCCAGAGGCAGGGACACAUUUCACCACUACCCACAAGAAGAACAAAAGGAAAUCAUGAUGUGGGCUACAGCCACAGGGCAGGACCUGGGUCACGGUGGAGUCUUGGUCUUUGAACUAACCAUUAGGAGGUGCUCAUAGUCUGGAACAAUUCCUUUAAACCUUUAAAGGAAGCACAGAGGACAACAAAACAGAGCAGCUCCUUUGUUAUGGGGAGGAGAAAAUGAGACAGAGAACAGCAAAGCCCAAUGACGUUUAGAUUCUUGAGGCUUCUUUCUCUUACCUGGUGUCCAAAGCUAGAGGAAUGGAAGAAAUGUCCCAUCUAGUCAUCUCAGAAUUUAGGCUUGGAAGUAUGGCAGAUACGGGGACCAUGGGGAAUUCCGAGAGUCAUUGACUGAAGUGGAGCAUGGAAAACUUGAGAACUGGCUGAGAGAAAUUUUCCACUAGACUUUUCAGAUAUUUAGAUGUAUGAAAAAAUUAGUCCUAUUUUGAUUAUUGGAGUUUUUGUUGGAUUUCUGUUAUGCACACCCUGAAGAAUCCUAGCAAAACAUUUUCCAAACUUCAUAUAACACAAACGAAUUGAAUGCAUCACUGUAUUUAAAAUGAUACAUAUUACAUUAUUGUUUUACCUUAGUGGCUAAAGUAAUAAUCUCAUUUUGCU